GAUGAAGAACCAGCGAAAUGCGAUACGUAAUGUGAAUUGCAAAUUCAGUGAAUCAUCGAGUCUUUGAACGCACAUUGCGCCCCCUGGUAUUCCGGGGGGCAUGCCUGUCCGAGCGUCAUUGCUGCCCUCAAGCACGGCUUGUGUGUUGGGCCCCGUCCUCCGAUCCCGGGGGACGGGCCCGAAAGGCAGCGGCGGCACCGCGUCCGGUCCUCGAGCGUAUGGGGCUUUGUCACCCGCUCUGUAGGCCCGGCCGGCGCUUGCCGAUCAACCCAAAUUUUUAUCCAGGUUGACCUCGGAUCAGGUAGGGAUACCCGCUGAACUUAAGCAUAUCAAUAAGCGGAGGA
rnacentral:misc_RNA from 1 species